CUUAGCAUAGGAAGUGUUUUUAAGUUUUAUUUAUCAUUGACUCCUAGUUUCUCUAACUAGGGUCAUCUGUUCAUUAAUGAGGUAUCUCAGCUACCUCCAGCUUAGGUUACUGACUCUCUCUCGAUAUGCUUAUCUUGAAUU